UACGUAGGGUGCGAGCGUUGUCCGGAAUUACUGGGCGUAAAGAGCUCGUAGGUGGUUUGUCGCGUUGUCCGUGAAAACUCACAGCUUAACUGUGGGCGUGCGGGCGAUACGGGCAGACUGGAGUACUGCAGGGGAGACUGGAAUUCCUGGUGUAGCGGUGGAAUGCGCAGAUAACAGGAGGAACACCGGUGGCGAAGGCGGGUCUCUGGGCAGUAACUGACGCUGAGGAGCGAAAGCGUGGGGAGCGAACAGG
rnacentral:rRNA from 1 species